GACGAACGCUGGCGGCGUGCCUAACACAUGCAAGUCAACUUGAAGGAAGGAGCAAUCUGACCUGAUGGUGGCGCAAGGGUGCGUAACGCGUAAGUAACUUGCCCAAGGUAAGGAAUAACGUCGAGAAUCGGCGCUAAUACCUCAUAAUGCAGCGGAUCCGCAUGGAUAUGUUGUUAAAGGUUUACCGCCUUGGGAUAGGCUUGCGUCUGAUUAGCUAGUUGGUGUGGUAAUGGCGCACCAAGGCUACGAUCAGUAACUGGUCUGAGAGGAUGAUCAGUCACACUGGAACUGAGACACGGUCCAGACUCCUACGGGAGGCAGCAGUGAGGAAUAUUGGGC
rnacentral:rRNA from 1 species